rnacentral:rRNA from 1 species
GACGAACCGUACGAACGUUAUUCGGAAUCACUGGGCUUAAAGGGUGCGUAGGCGGCGCAGAAAGUUGGGUGUGAAAUCCCUCGGCUUAACCGAGGAAUUGCGCCCAAAACUACUGUGCUCGAGGGAGGUAGAGGUGAGCGGAACUUAGGGUGGAGCGGUGAAAUGCGUUGAUAUCCUAAGGAACACCGGUGGCGAAAGCGGCUCACUGGACCUCUUCUGACGCUGAGGCACGAAAGCUAGGGUAGCAACGGGG